UGUGGUGGGACUCUCCGGUGCGGCAGCUCCUCCGGCUCAAGUUGCGGUUGGGUGUUUUGUUCUGGUCGACCUGUAGAGGAGGAAACGGUGAUCACAACGGUGGAAAAAUCACAUCGAACGGGAAUCAGGAAGGGCCUCAUCGGAGGCGAAAAUCGAAACACCCCACGACGGCGCUGCUGAGCUUUGGCGGCAUUUUUCGGCCAAAUGGCUGGUAUUUUCACUCCAAUUUGGCCAUGGGUGGUUUGGAAUCAAAUUCUGAGC
rnacentral:lncRNA from 1 species